rnacentral:rRNA from 1 species
GGAUAACAGUUGGAAACGACUGCUAAUACCGCAUAAUGUCUACGGACCAAACAGGGCUUCGGCUCUGGCGCAAAGAGAGGCCCAAGUGAGAUUAGCUAGUUGGUGAGGUAAAGGCUCACCAAGGCAACGAUCUCUAGCUGUUCUGAGAGGAAGAUCAGCCACACUGGGACUGAGACACGGCCCAGACUCCUACGGGAGGCAGCAGUGGGGAAUAUUGCACAAUGGGGGAAACCCUGAUGCAGCCAUGCCGCGUGUGUGAAGAAGGCCUUCGGGUUGUAAAGCACUUUCAGUUGUGAGGAAAAGUUAGUAGUUAAUACCUGCUAGCCGUGACGUUAACAACAGAAGAAGCACCGGCUAACUCCGUGCCAGCAGCCGCGGUAAUACGGAGGGUGCGAGCGUUAAUCGGAAUUACUGGGCGUAAAGCGCACGCAGGCGGUUUGUUAAGCUAGAUGUGAAAGCCCCGGGCUCAACCUGGGACGGUCAUUUAGAACUGGCAGACUAGAGUCUUGGAGAGGGGAGUGGAAUUCCAGGUGUAGCGGUGAAAUGCGUAGAUAUCUGGAGGAACAUCAGUGGCGAAGGCGACUCCCUGGCCAAAGACUGACGCUCAUGUGCGAAAGUGUGGGUAGCGAACAGGAUUAGAUACCCUGGUAGUCCACACCGUAAACGCUGUCUACUAGCUGUUUGUGACUUUAAGUCGUGAGUAGCGAAGCUAACGCGAUAAGUAGACCGCCUGGGGAGUACGGCCGCAGGGUUAAAACUCAAAUGAAUUGACGGGGGCCC